AGCUUGUGGGUGAUUGUUCACACGACUAUUCUUCUAUUGUACACAUUUAACUAUAGUUAUUUUUUAGUAUCUUACUUGUAUUGAAUCUUCAGACGUCUAAAAGUAUUUUUUAUGACAAUUAAAAAUACUUGACGUUGCAUUGUCAAUCAUUUUAUAUACUCUAAAAAGAUGUGUUGGUUCGUUAUUGUAUAUAUUUACGAUUCUAGAGAUUAAGAAUAAUUCAUAUUUAGAGGUUAUUUUCCUCAUCAUGUUCUAUCAUAGUUACUCAUCAUUGAGGAAACACCAACUUUUGCAAACUUUUCUUAAAAAAAUUACUCUUAUCAUGUAAAAUGAUGAAAGAUAUGUAACUAAUAUAUAGUUACUGUAGGUCAAAAAUUUUAAAUGAAUUUAUCAUUAAAAAAUGAAUGUGUGAUUGAUUAACAUCUUGAUGCUCCUUUUUAUGCUGCUCAUCAUAGAUAAUGUUGGAUAUUUAAGAUUUGUGAUAUAUAUUUGCAAACAUUAUGCAGUCUUUUUUCGAGUGUGUAGUCAAAGGAUAAAGAAGAUUAAAAAGCAACAGUGAAGUAUGAAAGAGUAAGAUGAACAAGAAAAGAUAACAAGAUACUGGUGAGGCUUGGCCAGAAAAAACAAAAAUGCAAUUCGACAACAUAGCCAUCGCUGCACUGAAAUUCAAGGUUGAAUCUCCCAGUUCAGUGAUUAUCUACUCUGACUUUAACAACAUUAAAAGAUGAAACGAAUGGAAGAAUAAAAAGUUGAACUGAAUUUAAAAGAAACCUCGAGAAAUAUUUUCUUACAAAUAUUUAUGAUAAAAUUUAUGCCACAAGAAUUUUGGAAGAGUGUAAAUCAAAAAUAAUUAGACAGAUUUGAAGAAAAAUAACUUUUGACACGUUUUAUCGACUUAGUUGUACUAAAAAAACCCAAACACUCUAGGAUAUUGAUUAAUAAUGCUUUGUAACUAAUGAAAGUUUUUCAAUUCAUUCAAUUGAAGUAAAGUGUGAACAAAAUCUGUCAAAUUAUUCUCACGAUAUCAAAAAAUACAUUGGUACUCACGUCGAUGUGUGUAGUGGAAGUCACACAUGUAAAUAUUCUUGAGAAAACUACCUGAAUGAUUCGAAGUAAAAAAAAAAUACCUGACAAAAACUUACCGUUAAAUUUUCACACCCAUCACAAUAAUAACCACUCGCCCCUAUUUUUCUGGAAAUUGCGGAAAGUCAAAAAUAUUUAUAACUUAUUCAGUCGGUCUACCGCAGGAUUUGAAAUGCUUUGAAGAAAAAUUUCACAUGACCUUUCUUCUAUGCCACCUUUUUUUCAUCUGGCAGGAAAGAUGGUGAAAUUUAUCAGAAAAGUUGAACGGUUAUAAUAAAAUCCAAGCGUACGUUACAUUCAGAUCUUAGUCCAUUUUUUUUACGAGCGUUCGUUCAAUUCCACUUCUGACAAUUUAAC